GGCUCAGGAUGAACGCUGGCGGCGUGCCUUAGGCAUGCAAGUCGAACGAAAAGUAGCAAUACUUUUAGUGGCAGACGGGUGAGUAACACGUAGGAAUCUACCCUUUGGUGAGGAAUAACGGUUCGAAAGGACCGCUAAUACCACAUAAGUCCGUAAGGAGAAAGACCGUAACUGGUCGCCGAUGGAGGAGCCUGCGUCCUAUCAGCUUGUUGGUGAGGUAAUGGCUCACCAAGGCUAUGACGGGUAGGGGGCGUGAGAGCGUGGCCCCCCACAAGGACACUGAGACACGGGUCCUACACCUACGGGUGGCAGCAACCGGGAAUAUUGCGCAAUGGAGGAAACUCUGACGCAGCGACGCCGCGUGCGGGAUGAAGGCCUUCGGGUUGUAAACCGCUGUGGAGAGGGAUGAAUUUUGACAGUACCUCUCUAGAAAGCACCUGCUAACUACGUGCCAGAAGCCUCGGUAAUACGUAGGGUGCAAGCGUUAUCCGGAUUUACUGGGCGUAAAGCGUCCGCAGGCGGUAUGGUAAGUGGUGGGUUAAAGACUCUGGCUCAACUAGAGGAAAGCUCGCCAAACUGGCAAACUAGAGCUAGUUCGGGGAUACUGGAAUUCUCGGUGGAGGGGUGAAAUCCGUUGAUAUCGAGAAGAACGCCAAAGACGAAGGUAAGUAUCUAGAACUAUGCUGACGCUCAGGGACGAAAGCUAGGGUAGCAAACUGGAUUAGAGACCCAGGUAGUCCUAGCCGUAAACUAUGAACACUAGCUGGUUGGAUGAAUUUCUGA
rnacentral:rRNA from 1 species